AGAACUGUCUCAUUAAAUAUUUGUUCUCACAUGCGCACACCCUAUAAAAUAGAACCCUAAGGAUCCAUUCUUUCUUCAGUUUUCUCCAACCAAGAAAAGCUAGCUCUAAGCCACGGGUAAUUGAUGAUUCGAUCAUGAAGACGAAGACCACCACCUUCUUCCUUGUACUCUUUGCAACCCUACUUCUGACCCUUGGACCUCUUCAAGCCGAUGCAGAAAAAGCAAACUACCGUCGGCUCCUAAGCGACGGCUGGAAUUAUGAUGCUGGUGAAUCAUCCGAUCAAAGCAGCCACCACCAGACCACUAGUACUGACCCACCAGAUACAUGGGUGCGGAAAAGAGAAAGCCAAGGUCACCCAUUCCCCUAAUAUCAGAACCAAGCUUGAUGCUGAAGAGGGUACUUAUGCAAUGUUAUCUUAUUUGUCCGAUGGUCCUUAGUCCUGACCAAUCGUUCCAUGGUACACCCAUGUGGUUGGCCUAUAGAAACGUAUGGUACUGAGAUAUGAUAAGCUUGUGUGUGACUUGUUUGGUCUGUGUGAUGCUUGGCCUGGCUUGUAGUCCAAGUACUAUCAUGCUUUGUAAGAUACUAAAUAGAAAUCUUAAAUAAAAUGACCAUGCCUGGCUUGAUGGAAGCAUGGUUCUUGUGUGGACUUA